rfam:Paenibacillus sp. HGF7 contig00108, whole genome shotgun sequence.
CGAUGAGGUAGAGGUUGCGGGUGCUAGGAGUAUGCCGGGGGAGACGAGAGAGACGUCAGCGAAGCCGGGAGAAAGGAGCAGCCGCCGAAAUUCGGGCCGUUUCUCUUGCGUCCGGAUUGGGUCCGUUCCCGAACAGGGGCGGAACUGUCACUGCUGCCCUUCCAAGCAGCGGUGUUGCGCUAUCUUCAUG